CAACAGAAUUAAACGUUUCGGAGCAAAUGAUCAGCAAAGUGACCAGAAUGAUCCAAUCCGGGUUUUCAAGCAAACCACAUGACAUGGUGGAUAUGAGAGACUGCCCUCUCCACCCCUCUCCUAUACCCCCCUCUGUUCUUCCCCACCCCUCUCACCCCUCUCCCAUACCCCCUCCCUUCUCCCCCACCCAUCUCAUCUCUCAUAAACACACUCGGGUAGACACACAUUUAAUCAGAUGAAAACAAACACACCCAUAGAAUGAGUCCAAACCAAAUACCUUAUUAAUGAAACAUUAUUUGUUAAUUAAUUCAUUGUUAACAUUAAUACUGAACUGUACUGAGCACAAAAAACACAAACGCACAUCAACUGUAUGGACUGUACAGACACCAAAUACACACUUCCAAUAUAUAUCUAUCAAACUGUUUACAUGCUGUUUUUGCAUACUUUUUGCUCUUUGCACAUGCUGUCACACAUUUCAGUUGUUUGCUGUUUUGCACAAUACUUUAUCUCAGGUAACUUCUGCUAUAAUACUGUGUUCAUUCCAGUAUUUCUGCACAUGCAAUAUUGUUUGAACAUACAGUAUUUACACUGGUCAGCAAUGUUUCUGUUUAUUGUCUUUUGUGUAUUGUCUUUUAUUUUGUAUUGUCUUGUUUCCACCAGGUUACACAGAUGCACUUUAUGUAUCUAGGACUAACUUACAAAGUCCUUAGCUCUGUCUUUGUUUUAUGUAGCACCAUGAUACUGGUGAAACAUCUCAUAUCACUGUGUACUGCAACAGCUAUAUAUGGUUGAAAUGACAAUUAAAGCAUCUUGCCACUUGGCUUUAUUAAGA